rnacentral:lncRNA from 1 species
GGCACACAGCCCUCCCCAGCAUGGGAUCAGCCGACUCUUGCCUCUCCCCGCCGGAAGAGGGCAGUGGGGUGUCUGUUCCCCAGCGCAGGCCAGCUGCUGGCUUUGCUUCUCACUUAGAGCCACGCUGGUCAUCUGCGACCCAGGGGCUUAGCCCACAGGCAGCUGGGGCGCGUGGGCCGGCAGCAGGCAGCAGGACACUUGAAAAUUGUCUCUGGCCAGGGCUAGCUGUCUCCCCAGAGGACACACAGAGGAUAUCUUCCCUCCUGCCUUUGGACGAUUUAGACAUGGCUGGAGAGACCAGGCCGGGCCCCACCCAGCCAGGCCAGAAGAGGCAGCCGGGCACAGCCAUUUCCUGCAGUAACUAUGACCUGGACUACAAGCUGUACAGGGAAGAUGUCCCCUACAGGGUGUAUGAAUACCAAGGAAUCCCUCCACUCCUCAACCGCAUGCCUGUCAAGAUCCGGAGGACCCACGUGGGCAUGGGGGUUAAGAGCAGCUUCAGUCCCCACAAGGGCCCCAGGAAGAGCCACCUGCCCCGAGAGCAAAUAAAGCUCCAGACCAAGGAGCUGCACUCUAUCAGGAGGGAGCUAAACCAGAUCAAAGCCCAGGUGGACCGUCUAUUGGAGAAUCUGGAGCGCAUGGACCAGCAGAGGGACCAGUUUCCAGGGUCAGACGCCAGUGAAGAAAACAGGGCCGCAGUGAGUAAGAGUUACUCAUGCAGAAUCACUGAAGCCAAGCAGGAGCCCAGGGGCCAGAGGGCCCAUCCAGAAGCAGACAGCCCAGAGGACAGCACACACCCAGAGGAGGCAGUGAAGAAUCAUGCAUCGGACCAGGAGGGCAGUCAGUAGAAGACUGGAAUUCCUCCCGGCUUCUUCCCAGACGGCUCCCUUCCUUGCCUCAUGGGGUUUUUGGAAGGCCUCCUGGUGGCACCUGUGCGACCAAAAGCACACAUUCUGGAAUGAGUACAAUGAAGCGGAGGUGUGGCUCACCACACCAGCUGGGAAGCCCCUCCGUAAUGGUUGCUUUUGCUUUUGGAGGCCAUGUUUCCAGAUAGUCCGGGGAGCUAAGAGGGAGGUCUAGCACAUGCUCACUAUCCUCAUGAGGGAGGCCGUCUGGCAAGGGGCGGAAGAACAGCGCCCCGCCCCCACCUUGGGAGCACAUCUGCCCCCUCUGACUGCAGGCAUUGCUUUGGCUGCUCUUCUCCCUGCCCCAGGCCCUGCCAGUUCUGUGUGGAGUGUCCCGCCCCCGCCGCCAGCCCAGCUUUCUCAGCUCCAGUGAUGCACAGGAAAUAAACUCAUGUUCUACGGACCCCUUCUGGUCUGAAACUGACCUUUAAGCUCCUUGGUGUGUGUCCCACAUGACCUCCUUUGGUUCCAGACUCCCCACCCAUCCACCCUCAUUCAGAAUAGAGUAUCAUUUUUAUGUCCUGUUUCUAUCUUGUCUCUCACUGGUGUGAUACUAUGUACUUCAGACCUGCUCUGGAAAUACUGUAAUGUCAAAGGAGAAAAAUAAAUUUGUAUUUCUUUUCCCUGGUC